rnacentral:tRNA from 1 species
UAUUAGUUUUAAAUAAAAUAUUAAAUUGCAAAUAUAAUGAUAUAUAAUAUAUAUAUAU